ACGACGGUGGUCCAAUCCAGGAUCACGACAUUGGUGGCAGCGGUAAAACUACCAAGGUUUCCUGAAGGUGCGCCAGACGCAGCAGAAAACCUACCAGUUUUUGGAAGAAGAUAGAGGCAACGGGCAGUUCUUGAAGGUGCAAACCAAGAAGCAGCAAGAAGCCCGACACGAGACGUAGACAUUGGGGACACUGAAGGAGCGCCAGACGCAGCAGCAAGUCUCCAGGGAAGCUUUUGUUUUCACCAGAUGAUGACGGGGGUUAAUUUAUUUAUAAUAAUUACCAGUAACACUUGGUUAUUUGCAGUUCCUCAUCCAGAAACUCUUACGAUAUCAUGUAAUAAUAAAAAAAAAUCACGUAGAUGUAAUACUAAAAAAUUGCGGUAGUGUCACUAUAGGUAAACAAUGUAAAGCUUAUAGCGCAUCAUCAAUGCUAAUCCCUCAUGGAAAUACAGUCCAGUCCAAUAUUUCAAGUGAUUUUAUUCCACCAUUCGACAUUAGUGAUAGAUAUGUUGCUCAUUAUAAUCGUAAUAUUAGCCAAAACUCUGAAAAUGUAGGUAACUAUGAAAACUCCGAAGAAGA